rnacentral:sRNA from 21 species
GUGCGUGGCGGCGAUACCGUUACGUCACCAUUCUCCUCUUGUCGUUGUUGCUCCGGGGCUCGAAGCCCCGGUUUUUUUUA